rnacentral:rRNA from 1 species
CGUGUGUGAAGAAGGCCCUCGGGUUGUAAAGCACUUUCAGCGAGGAAGAACGCCUAGCGGUUAAUACCCGCUAGGAAAGACAUCACUCGCAGAAGAAGCACCGGCUAACUCCGUGCCAGCAGCCGCGGUAAUACGGAGGGUGCAAGCGUUAAUCGGAAUUACUGGGCGUAAAGCGCGCGUAGGUGGCUUGAUAAGCCGGUUGUGAAAGCCCCGGGCUCAACCUGGGAACGGCAUCCGGAACUGUCAAGCUAGAGUGCAGGAGAGGAAGGUAGAAUUCCCGGUGUAGCGGUGAAAUGCGUAGAGAUCGGGAGGAAUACCAGUGGCGAAGGCGGCCUUCUGGACUGACACUGACACUGAGGUGCGAAAGCGUGGGUAGCAAACAGGAUUAGAUACCCUGGUAGUCCACGCCGUAAACGAUGUCGACCAGCCGUUGGGUGCCUAGCGCACUUUGUGGCGAAGUUAACGCGAUAAGUCGACCGCCUGGGGAGUACGGCCGCAAGGUUAAAACUCAAAUGAAUUGACGGGGGCCCGCACAAGCGGUGGAGCAUGUGGUUUAAUUCGAUGCAACGCGAAGAACCUUACCUACUCUUGACAUCCUGCGAAUUUGGUAGAGAUACCUUAGUGCCUUCGGGAACGCAGAGACAGGUGCUGCAUGGCUGUCGUCAGCUCGUGUUGUGAAAUGUUGGGUUAAGUCCCGUAACGAGCGCAACCCUUGUCCUU